GUAAAUGUAGUUUAAUAAAAACAUUAGAUURUGAAUCUAAAAAUAGGGGUUUAAAUCCCCUUAAUUACC
rnacentral:tRNA from 1 species